rnacentral:rRNA from 1 species
GGCCGUGAGAGCGGAAGCCCGGAGAUGGGCACUGAGACAAGGGCCCAGGUCCUACGGGGCGCAGCAGUCGCGAAAACUUUGCAAUACACGAAAGUGUGACAGGGUCAUCCCGAGUGCCGACCGCUGAGGUUGGCUUUUACCCAGUCUAGAAAGCUGGGGGAAUAAGGAGAGGGCAAGUCUGGUGUCAGCCGCCGCGGUAAUACCAGCUCUCCGAGUGGUGUGGACGUUUAUUGGGCCUAAAGCAUCCGUAGCUGGCUGAACAAGUCCCCUGUUAAACCCACCGAUUUAAUCGUUGGUGUGCGGGGGAUACUGCUCGGCUAGGGGACGAGAGAGGCAGACGGUAUUCCCGGGGUAGGGGUGAAAUCCUAUAAUCCCGAGAAGACCACCAGUGGCGAAGGCUGUCUGCUAGAACGCGCCCGACGGUGAGGGAUGAAAGCUGGGGGAGCGAACCGGAUUAGAUACCCGGGUAGUCCUAGCCGUAAACGAUACUCGCUAGGCGUCGGCCACGGUGCGACCGUUGUCGGUGCCGUAGGGAAGCCGUGAAGCGAGCCACCUGGGAAGUACGGCCGCAAGGCUGAAACUUAAAGGAAUUGGCGGGGGAGCACCACAACGGGUGGAGCUUGCGGUUUAAUUGGAGUCAACGCCGGAAAGGGC